rnacentral:tRNA from 1 species
AGACGCACCCCAAUAGGGUGCCGGGGCUUC